AAUAGAUACCCGGGUAGUCCACGCCGUAAACGAUGUCGACUUGGAGGUUGUUCCCUUGAGGAGUGGCUUCCGGGAGCUAACGCGUUAAGUCGACCGCCUGGGGAGUACGGCCGCAAGGUUAAAACUCAAAUGAAUUGACGGGGGCCCGCACAAGCGGUGGAGCAUGUGGUUUAAUUCGAUGCAACGCGAAGAACCUUACCUACUCUUGACAUCCAGAGAACUUAGCAGAGAUGCUUUGGUGCCUUCGGGAACUCUGAGACAGGUGCUGCAUGGCUGUCGUCAGCUCGUGUUGUGAAAUGUUGGGUUAAGUCCCGCAACGAGCGCAACCCUUAUCCUUUGUUGCCAGCGGUCCGGCCGGGAACUCAAAGGAGACUGCCAGUGAUAAACUGGAGGAAGGUGGGGAUGACGUCAAGUCAUCAUGGCCCUUACGAGUAGGGCUACACACGUGCUACAAUGGCGUAUACAAAGAGAAGCGACCUCGCGAGAGCAAGCGGACCUCAUAAAGUACGUCGUAGUCCGGAUUGGAGU
rnacentral:rRNA from 1 species